rnacentral:rRNA from 1 species
GACGAACGCUGGCGGCGUGCUUAACACAUGCAAGUCGAACGGAAAGGCCCUGCUUGCAGGGUACUCGCGUGGCGAACGGGUGAGUAACACGUGGGUGAUCUGCCCUGCACUUCGGGAUAAGCUUGGGCAACUGGGUCUAAUACCGGAUAGGAACCAUCUUUAGUGUGGUGGUUGGAAAGUUUUUUCGGUGUAGGAUGAGCUCGCGGCCUAUCAGCUUGUUGGUGGGGUAAUGGCCUACCAAGGCGGCGACGGGUAGCCGGCCUGAGAGGGUGUACGGCCACAUUGGGACUGAGAGACGGCCCAGACUCGGACGGGAGGCAGCAGGGGGGAAUAUUGCACAAUGGGCGCAAGCCUGAUGCAGCGACGCCGCGUGGGGGAUGAAGGCCUUCGGGUUGGAAACUCCUUUCGCUAGGGACGAAGCUUUUUUGUGACGGUACCUAGAGAAGAAGCACCGGCUAACUACGUG